rnacentral:lncRNA from 1 species
UAUCUUCCUUCUUCCGGCCUGCCUGCCCUGUUUUUCUGACAUGUCACCCCCUCCACUUGGCCUUAACCAGGUUGUACCUGCCCCCAGGAACAGCUUGUAGAGGCCCUGGCAGAGCUGGGGGGAAACAGUCCCCUCAGGCAAGCAGGCAACCAGACCCUGGAGACCACACUCCCGCAGCCGGAGGCGCUGGCGGCUCCGCUCAGGUAGCCGCUCAUUCUGCUGCAGUCUGCGCAGGAUCUGUGUGGGGGUCAUCGGAGGACUGUCAUCAUGUGGAAGGAGUUACUGUAGGAGGGGAAGUCACCGUGCAGCCUACCUGACCGUCAUCGCCUGUGGCCGCCAAAAAGCUCAGCAUGGUCUGCGUGACCUGCACGUCAUCUGCUGAGAGACUCCGCACCAGGAACUCCCUCGCCAGGCCCAGGAGGGAGGUCUGCACGCUUCUGUCUGUGCUCCCGAACUAUGCUGGACAUGUACUGGAUGUGACCUGAGCGGGAAUGAGCAGAGGGCUCAGGCCACUA